GAAAUUAAUUGGAAGCCAAAAUUGAUAUGAGGGCCAGAUCAAAAUCUGCAAGUGGCCGGAUUUG